UCAGCCGCCGCGGUAAUACGUAGGUGGCAAGCGUUGUCCGGAUUUACUGGGCGUAAAGAGCGCGCAGGCGGCCGAGUCAGUCGAAUGUGAAAGCCCCCGGCUCAACUGGGGAGGGUCAUUCGAUACUGCUCGGCUUGAAGAUAGGAGAGGGAAGCGGAAUUUCAGGUGUAGUGGUGAAAUGCGUAGAUAUCUGAAGGAACACCAGUGGCGAAGGCGGCUUUCUGGCCUAUUCUUGACGCUGAGGCGCGAAAGCUAGGGGAGCAAACGGGAUUAGAUACCCCGGUAGUCCUAGCCGUAAACGAUGAACACUAGAUGUUGGUGGUAUCAACCCCGCCAGUGUCGUAGCUAACGCAUUAAGUGUUCCGCCUGGGGAGUACGGCCGCAAGGCUAAAACUCAAAGGAAUUGACGGGGGCCCGCACAAGC
rnacentral:rRNA from 1 species